rnacentral:rRNA from 1 species
UACGUAGGCAGCAAGCGUUGUUCGGAAUUACUGGGCGUAAAGAGUGUGUAGGCGGUGCUCCAAGUCUGGUGUGAAAUCUCCCGGCUUAACUGGGAGGGUGCAUUAGAAACUGGAAUGCUAGAGGAUGGGAGAGGUAAGCGGAAUUCCUGGUGUAGCGGUGAAAUGCGCAGAUAUCAGGAAGAACACCCGUGGCGAAGGCGGCACUCUGGGACGGUACUGACGCUGAGACGCGAAAGCGUGGGGAGCGAACAGG